CUCGCUUGUUUUCAUGUGCGCUUAUUAGCUUGUUGCCUUAUUAGCUUGUAGUGAACUAGCUUGUUUUUCGGGUGUGCUCAGUAGCUUGCUAGCGUGCUACCGGCUCUCGACAGGGCAUUGAAACGCGUCACAUCCCGACAGGUUGUUCCCCCGAUGUGGUUGGGGGUGCAGAGCUGGCUCCGCCCCUCGGGCCGCCCACCUUGCUGAGCAGGUGACUCAGGGCGUCCCUCAUGCGGUCGUGGCGCAUGUAGAAGCAGACCAGCGCCAGGUGCGUCCCGUAGGAGGUCAGGUAGUGCAGCGCCUCCUGGUGGAGCCUUGGGUCCGGGCGGGGGUCCGGGCGCUCCGCCGCGCCCGGGUCAGACAGGACCUCCUCCAGCUCCCGUAGCGACGCCAGGAUGUCCUCGCUGAACGGCUGAGGGAGGCACGCGCACGGAGACAGGUAAACGCACGCAGGGACUGAAUGUCUAAAGGUUCCUUAUGGAACAACACGGACACCAUCAGUCUCACGGUGCCAGGGGCGGCCAGAGACAUUGGAGCACCGGGGGCAACCGACUGCAAGGGGCCCCACAGAGCCCCGCCCCCAUAGAGCCCCGCCCCCAUAGAGCCCCGCCCCCAACAUGAGAGACACUAAACAAUAGUCUUGUUUUUAUGUCAAUUUCUUUACUUUACCUUCACACCUUUAUUUCCAUUUUAGUUGAAUCUAUUUUUAUAUUAGAUAUAACUAUAGCUGUUCUUUUUAUUCUUUUAUUUUGUUUCCUCUUGGCUGGGAAACUUUCACGAAAGAUCAUGAAAAUAAAAUGUACCUAAAUGUUAUGUUACUUGAUAUUCCAUUCUGUACUAUUGAUAACUUGAUGCAUUUGACUUAUAUAUUGCGUAAGAUUGUAUUAUUUUGUUUUUUUGUGUUCGAAGGGCACGAUACAAAAAAGAAAACUUACCUCGUCAGACAGAUCAUUCAUAUAUCUAUUACGAUCCAAACCAAACGUUUGAUCUUUCAUACUGCAGCCGACCACAUGGGCCUCGUCCCCGAGCUGCCAUCUCUGCCCUUAGCGAGCAGGCUCUGACCCAGAUGGCUGGGUGUGUGUGUGUGUGUGUGUGUGUGUGUGUGUGUGUGUGUGUGUGUGUGUGUGUGUGUGUGUGUGUGUGUGUGUGUGUGUGUGUGUGUGUGUGUGUGUGUGACGUCGUGGGGCUCCUUCAGGUCUGUCAGCCUACGUUCUACGCCCCUGGCGUGUUCCUAGAGAGCCACAAGAGAGCGCCUGACAGAAGGGAGGGCCCUUGAAGACUGGAGCGUCUGUCUUACCCACCUCGGGCGAAGCCCUGAGCGCCCUCACACAUAACUCCUCUCCCCCCGCCUGCCCCCGCAGAAGCCCGCUAUCUAGAGGGAAUCAGCACCACGCCGAAGAGGAUGACGACCGACGAUAUGGAUGUCAAAGGGGCGACACUUUUCAGAGCACUAUUCUAAGCAUGGUGGCCGUUCAAAGAAAUUGAAUUCUGUGGGAUUAUAGAAUAAACAAUGAAGGCGUCAGCCAUCGAAAGACGGACCGAACACCGGUCGGUUUCAGCCCAGUAACCUGAACCCUGACAAAGGGGAUGUUCCGGAGGACACAAACACAUUAAAGCCAAACCUAGAGACAAACCCAAGGUUAAGAGUCUGCAGGAAUGAAUUUCAGCCACAGGCCACCGCUAGUGACGUCUUCACUCAUACAUGAAGUUACACGCAGAGUAAAGUGUUGAAACAAAGCUGACUUAUCACGCACACCCCAUGCUUCCAGGUGACGGGGUGCUACCUCAGGUCACCACGUCAGGGCACAGCUCGAACCCGGAGCCGGCAGGACCCAUGUGCCUGCUAACUCUGCUUGCUAACCCACGUCGACGCAACACAAGGGCCACGCACACGCUUCGACGCGGUCGCAAACCUGUUUUGGCUCAGUGUCAGGUUUUAGUGAGCCGACCAAUCGCAGCCCUUUUGGGUACGUCACCUUGACGCAAAGUUAAAUUUUUUUGGGGGUGCACGUCGGGCCCCUCCGAUGGACGCAAGGAGGGUCCGCAAACAUGCAAUGGGUCCG
ensembl:lncRNA